rnacentral:lncRNA from 1 species
ACGGUCUGACAGGGGGACAACCACACAGGAGGGGACUACCUCCACCGUCCAAGACGGUCGCCGUCCGGACACGACGACGAGAGCACACCGAACCAUUGGAACCGAAGGGCAGCAGCAGCGCAGCCACCCGGAGGGCGUCCUCCACCGCCAUCGGCGGGUGCCGACCAGACACACCAGGCCAAGAAGGCCCGGCCGAGCGCCGGCCAAGUCCUGGGGCUCGUAAAGUCCCCGCUGUCGUGCUGCUGCACGUAAGCCGCCACCGCCGCUACCCUCAUGCAGCCCAAAAGCUCAGCCGGGCAUGGACAAGCUCGUGAAGCUCCCAUCAUCACGCUGCAUCGGUGCGAUGUCAACG